rnacentral:misc_RNA from 1 species
UGCGAUACGUAAUGCGAAUUGCAGAAUUCAGUGAGUCAUCAAAAUUUUGAACGCAUAUUGCACUUCCGGGUUAGUCCUGGGAGUAUGUUUGUAUCAGUGUCCGUGAACACAAGCUUGUUUCAUUUUUCAAUGGAGCAGACUGUGAGGGUCUUGCUUUUGCAAGUCCCUUUAAACGACGGUACCUGUGCGUCCUUGUGAGGUGCAUUAAAUAAAGGUAUGCCUGUGCUUGGAUCGAGAGUCUUGUGUGGUAGCACGCGGCAUUCAAAGAGAGAGCAAAUCGCGGUAGUUUUGCUUGUGCUUCGGUACGAGUAGACAUAUAUUGCUUUUUGUGAUCUCGGCGAGUCUGUUGUUUAAGCCCAGGACGCGUUUCGAGAGCUUGCAUGCUGGUGCACUUCUUGGCGUACGGAGGCAAAUUGGGAAUUCAAUCCAAUUUGGACCUGAUAUCGAACAAGACUACCCGCUGAACUUAAGCAUAUCAUUAAGCGGAGGAAAAGAAACUAACAAGGAUUCCCCCAGUAACGGCGAGUGAAGCGGGAAGAGCUCAAGCUUAAAAUCUCCAUACUUGUAUGGCGAAUUGUAGUCUAUUGAGGCUGUUGUCAGCAUCGCGAUUGGGGACAAGUCCCUUGGAAAAGGGCAGCAUGGAGGGUGAUACUCCCGUCUCUGCUCCAAUUUGCGGUGUGUACGAUACGCUUUCUUUGAGUCGAGUUGUUUGGGAAUACAGCUCAAAGUAGGUGGUAAAUUCCAUCUAAAGCUAAAUAUUGGUGCGAGACCGAUAGCGAACAAGU